rnacentral:rRNA from 2 species
GACAGAGGGUGCAAACGUUGUUCGGAAUCACUGGGCGUAAAGCGCGUGUAGGCGGCUUCUCAAGUCGGGUGUGAAAUCCCAGGGCUCAACCCUGGAAGUGCAUUCGAAACUGGGUAGCUAGAGUACUGGAGAGGAAGGUGGAAUGCUUGGUGUAGAGGUGAAAUUCGUAGAUAUCAAGCGGAACACCGGUGGCGAAGGCGGCCUUCUGGACAGAUACUGACGCUGAGACGCGAAAGCGUGGGGAGCAAACAGG